rnacentral:rRNA from 1 species
AGAGUUUGAUCAUGGCUCAGAUUGAACGCUGGCGGCAGGCCUAACACAUGCAAGUCGAGCGGUAGCACAGAGAGCUUGCUCUCGGGUGACGAGCGGCGGACGGGUGAGUAAUGUCUGGGAAACUGCCUGAUGGAGGGGGAUAACUACUGGAAACGGUAGCUAAUACCGCAUAACGUCGCAAGACCAAAGUGGGGGACCUUCGGGCCUCAUGCCAUCAGAUGUGCCCAGAUGGGAUUAGCUAGUAGGUGGGGUAACGGCUCACCUAGGCGACGAUCCCUAGCUGGUCUGAGAGGAUGACCAGCCACACUGGAACUGAGACACGGUCCAGACUCCUACGGGAGGCAGCAGUGGGGAAUAUUGCACAAUGGGCGCAAGCCUGAUGCAGCCAUGCCGCGUGUGUGAAGAAGGCCUUCGGGUUGUAAAGCACUUUCAGCGGGGAGGAAGGCGGUGAGGUUAAUAACCUCAUCGAUUGACGUUACCCGCAGAAGAAGCACCGGCUAACUCCGUGCCAGCAGCCGCGGUAAUACGGAGGGUGCAAGCGUUAAUCGGAAUUACUGGGCGUAAAGCGCACGCAGGCGGUCUGUCAAGUCGGAUGUGAAAUCCCCGGGCUCAACCUGGGAACUGCAUUCGAAACUGGCAGGCUAGAGUCUUGUAGAGGGGGGUAGAAUUCCAGGUGUAGCGGUGAAAUGCGUAGAGAUCUGGAGGAAUACCGGUGGCGAAGGCGGCCCCCUGGACAAAGACUGACGCUCAGGUGCGAAAGCGUGGGGAGCAAACAGGAUUAGAUACCCUGGUAGUCCACGCUGUAAACGAUGUCGAUUUGGAGGUUGUGCCCUUGAGGCGUGGCUUCCGGAGCUAACGCGUUAAAUCGACCGCCUGGGGAGUACGGCCGCAAGGUUAAAACUCAAAUGAAUUGACGGGGGCCCGCACAAGCGGUGGAGCAGGUGGUUUAAUUCGAUGCAACGCGAAGAACCUUACCUGGUCUUGACAUCCACAGAACUUUCCAGAGAUGGAUUGGUGCCUUCGGGAACUGUGAGACAGGUGCUGCAUGGCUGUCGUCAGCUCGUGUUGUGAAAUGUUGGGUUAAGUCCCGCAACGAGCGCAACCCUUAUCCUUUGUUGCCAGCGGUUAGGCCGGGAACUCAAAGGAGACUGCCAGUGAUAAACUGGAGGAAGGUGGGGAUGACGUCAAGUCAUCAUGGCCCUUACGACCAGGGCUACACACGUGCUACAAUGGCAUAUACAAAGAGAAGCGACCUCGCGAGAGCAAGCGGACCUCAUAAAGUAUGUCGUAGUCCGGAUUGGAGUCUGCAACUCGACUCCAUGAAGUCGGAAUCGCUAGUAAUCGUAGAUCAGAAUGCUACGGUGAAUACGUUCCCGGGCCUUGUACACACCGCCCGUCACACCAUGGGAGUGGGUUGCAAAAGAAGUAGGUAGCUUAACCUUCGGGAGGGCGCUUACCACUUUGUGAUUCAUGACUGGGGUGAAGUCGUAACAAGGUAACCGUAGGGGAACCUGCGGUUG